GAUGAACGCUGGCGGCGUGCCUAAUACAUGCAAGUCGAGCGAACAGAUAAGGAGCUUGCUCCUUUGACGUUAGCGGCGGACGGGUGAGUAACACGUGGGUAACCUACCUAUAAGACUGGGAUAACUUCGGGAAGCCGGAGCUAAUACCGGAUAAUAUUUCGAACCGCAUGGUUCGAUAGUGAAAGAUGGUUUUGCUAUCACUUAUAGAUGGACCCGCGCCGUAUUAGCUAGUUGGUAAGGUAACGGCUUACCAAGGCGACGAUACGUAGCCGACCUGAGAGGGUGAUCGGCCACACUGGAACUGAGACACGGUCCAGACUCCUACGGGAGGCAGCAGUAGGGAAUCUUCCGCAAUGGGCGAAAGCCUGACGGAGCAACGCCGCGUGAGUGAUGAAGGUCUUCGGAUCGUAAAACUCUGUUAUUAGGGAAGAACAUACGUGUAAGUAACUGUGCACGUCUUGACGGUACCUAAUCAGAAAGCCACGGCUAACUACGUG
rnacentral:rRNA from 1 species